CAUUAAAAAUUGAAGAAGGCAGAGUGCCAGCAAUGGCCUUUGUUCUUUGAACAUUUUGUGAACUUUUAUUGUUUUUGGCGAGUUACAGUUUUAGUUUUUUUUUUGACUAAAAUGCUCAUGCGAAAGUGUGAGGUCUCGCUGGUUGAUUUUUUUUUCAACAAAACCAAUUGAACUUUAUCGUCAAAGUAGCCUUAAAAUUAAACAUUAAUAUUAAAACAACUUUUGACAAUGGAUCUCUUGGCUCCCACAACGAUGAAGAACGCAGCGAAAUGCGAUAAGUAAUGUGAAUUGCAAAAUUCCGUGAAUCAUCAAAUCUUUGAACGCACAUUGCGCUUUCUGGUAUUCCGGAGAGCAUAUCUGUUUGAGAAUCAGUUUAAAUCUCAUAUCAGCUUUGUUGAAAAACGAGGUUGAAAUGGACUUGAGACUUUUGAGUGUGUUACACGCAAGUCUUGAAUUACAUCAGUCAGUUUUAUUCUUAAAACUGUGGUCAUAACCAAGUCGAAAGGCAAAGUAUGAUUGCAAGAGAAUAGGGUGACGUUUAAACUAAUCACGAAGAAACUUGACGUUUCUUUUAAGACUUGAUCUCAAAUCAGAUAAGACUACCCGCUGAACUUAA
rnacentral:rRNA from 1 species